rnacentral:rRNA from 1 species
ACAGCAGUCGCCACGGUAAUACAUAGGGUGCGAGCGUUAAUCGGAUUUACUGGGCGUAAAGCGUGCGUAGGCGGCUUCUUAAGUCGGAUGUGAAAUCCCUGAGCUUAACUUAGGAAUUGCAUUCGAUACUGGGAAGCUAGAGUAUGGGAGAGGAUGGUAGAAUUCCAGGUGUAGCGGUGAAAUGCGUAGAGAUCUGGAGGAAUACCGAUGGCGAAGGCAGCCAUCUGGCCUAAUACUGACGCUGAGGUACGAAAGCAUGGGGAGCAAACAGGAUUAGAUACCCCCGUAGUCCCUGUCUCUUAUAC